rnacentral:rRNA from 1 species
GACGGAGGAUGCAAGCGUUAUCCGGAAUGAUUGGGCGUAAAGCGUCCGCAGGUGGCAGUUCAAGUCUGCUGUCAAAGACCGGGGCUUAACUUCGGAAAGGCAGUGGAAACUGAACAGCUAGAGUAUGGUAGGGGCAGAGGGAAUUCCUGGUGUAGCGGUGAAAUGCGUAGAGAUCAGGAAGAACAUCGGUGGCGAAGGCGCUCUGCUGGACCAUAACUGACACUCAGGGACGAAAAGCUAGGGGAGCGAACAGG